rnacentral:rRNA from 2 species
GAAUGAGAAGAUUCAGUAUCUUUCAUUUGGUCGACCAUUACAUUAUUAUGUGAUAAUUUUUAAUAUCUUGUAUAUUAAUAUUACACUAAUUUGUUUUGAGAUUUGGCUAUGGAGAUAUGCACUUCUUCUCUAGUAGGACGUUGCAACCCAUUGGAUGUUAAUCUAAGGUCCCUUAUGGUAGCCUAUUUUAUAUAUAUUUCGGUAUAUGUGAUUUAGACCUUAGGUGUUUGCCUGAUUAACUUGUUCGAUGGUAUGUCUUUAUAAUAUGGAGUCGCCUAUAUGGCAUUUAACUUUUUUUCAAGUGUGUAUGGAUUAAAUUUUGGCUAUCAGACCUAGUCUGGUACUGAAACCAUUACCACUGUUUGAAAAUUAUGUUGUAAUUAAAUUGACUCUUCUAUAUAGGUUAGCAACGCUUUU